AGUUCCUAGAUCUCACCUCAAGUCCUCUUGCCUGUUCCCCCAGGGCACUGUGAUCAGCGGGGUUGGAAUUCAACUCCAGGCAGGUCCUGGCUGUGGCCUCCAGUACAAGCCCCCGCCUUCUCAGUUGUGCUGAAAGAGGAUGAUGGAAUUCUGGAUUUCCUGUCGGUUUAAUCUAUUUCUCUUCUGUCACUGAAACUGGAAACAGCCAAUCAAAUCAUUCACACACAGCCGGGCACUUUGGGGUCUGAAGUAGAGGAGUGGCACACGGCUAUUUGGAAUUGCAGAAAAUGUCACCCGCAUGUCAGAGAGUGGUGGUGGGGCUGGAACUGGACCAGAGGAAAGGCCAGGGACACCAACGAGGUCAAGGCUGCAAGGACAAUGCAGGUGGGGGACAACAAUCCCCUGCCCCAAGGCCCAUGGCUGAUGCAGCUCCCUGAGUCUACAACCCGGUGCUUGGCCGUGCCCUCAGCGGAGCUGCGCUCCCUGCAUGGGGUAAGGCCGAACCCCCAACUCUGAAUCUGGGCCGGGGUUUCUGGCGUCAGAGCAGGAGUCGGCAGAGGGACGCUCUGGCCGGUGCUGUGCGUGGAGGCCGGCAGAGGGCGCUGGCGCCCCGCGUUUGUGCCUCCGGGACAAACCUGUCCAGCUCCGGGGUCCUGCCGGCGGCGAGGGCCCAACGCCGGCCAGAGCUCUGCGCCUCCCUGGUCCAUGCCACCAGGCACGCUCUCAGUUGCCCUGGUCUUGGCCUGAACGUCUCGGAAUGGAAGGAACCUCUUUGCCACAGCCCGCGAGUGAUCUCAUGUUCUUCUCACUGCUCAGAACUGGACUUAACCAGGCCCUUAAAUCUUGACUACAUCUCAGAGAAAGGCAUGAAUCUCACCAGUUUACAGGUCUAGUCCAUGAUAAUAUAAUCAACAACAGAAAACAAAUACUACAAUGACUUUUAUGGAGUUCUAAUUAUUGACCUGACUGGUCAGGAUCCUUUGUAGUGGAGUCAGGGCAGGUAGGCUGGGCCUCAGUUCAGCUCCCAGAAGGUGGCCACCCUCACAGUACCUUCUGCUCCACUGUCAGGGUCCUUGCAGACCUGGAAGGAGGAACAGGGGGGCUGAAGGGAAUCUGAGGGUCCGGUGGGAUGUCUGAACCACCCCAGGCCACCCUGUACCUGUGUUUCUGUCCAUUGCCCCCAUCCCUCCUGCAGCCUUGAGUGGCCAGAGAGCCUGAGCAGUGGCCCAGGAACAGGAUGACUGGCAGCUACCAAGAAGCAUUGCCCAAGGUCAUGGCACUCAGAGCUAUAGCCGGAUCCCAGAGCUCUGCUGGCUGUGCCAGGGCCUGGCCCAACCCGCUCCAGGCUCUGGGCUAUCGGAGACCAGCCAGUGUGCAGUCCCCGUGGGUCAAGCAGCCCUGGCAUGAGGCAGUAUUGCAUGGUGGCUACAGACUUGGCCUGUGGAGCCCCUGUGGCUGGGUUUGAGUCCUGCUGUUACUACCUAUGAGCUGUGUGGACCUUGGAUGUGACAGUUAACUCACUGUCCCAGUUUCCUUGUCUUACGAAGGAAGAUAGUAAUAGUAUGCAUUUCUGUGUUAAUCACACUUUUUAUUUUUUGUGUUUUAAUGAUGCUUUGACAUCUUGGGGCUGUGCAGACCCAAGAAGGGACCGCCCCUCCUAGGACUAGCUAAGUCUCAAGGAUGGUAAACAAUUUGCCUUGCGUGUACCUUUCAGAUGCGAGCAGAUCGAUCCAAGGCCCACGGCCCCUCCCCCUCCCUUACCUAACUCACACAAGCCAAUAUUCCUCCUGCAUCCAUCAUCCCAGGGCCAGCAAAGGUACCAGACAAUAGGGGGGAGCCCCUAUAGCCUGGUGCUGCUAAAAGUACUCAAACUAGCCAAUCCUAGACUGGCAACUUAGCCUUGCCAUUCCUCCCUGUGAAAAGCACAGUGAAGAUUCCGGCCCAUGUUUUCCCCUUUCCUUCUGCCUUCGGACUGACUUGGUACUUCUCCAUGGGGCCCCCUGUGGUGUGCUGUGACCCCUCCUCUUGGAAAUUGUGAGAAUAAACUCUUCUUUCAAGGCU